rnacentral:rRNA from 1 species
UACGUAGGGGGCGAGCGUUGUCCGGAUUUAUUGGGCGUAAAGAGCGUGUAGGCGGCCAAGUAAGUCUGCUGUGAAAACUCGAGGCUUAACCUCGAGCUGUCGGCGGAAACUAUUUGGCUAGAGUCCGGAAGAGGAGAAUGGAAUUCCCGGUGUAGCGGUGAAAUGCGCAGAUAUCGGGAAGAACACCCGUGGCGAAGGCGGUUCUCUGGGACGGUACUGACGCUGAGACGCGAAAGCGUGGGGAGCGAACAGG